rnacentral:tRNA from 1 species
GCGCCAGUAGCUCAAAUGGAUAGAGCAACAGCCUACGGAGCUGUGGGUUAGGGGUUCGAGUCCCUUCUGGCGCG